GGCAGGUUUCUGGGUCUGCGCGGUGACGCUGGCAUCCUGCUAUGCGGCCGUGACCUGGACCGUCGGCAAGGCACCUGCGGAAGAGAAGGGAAAUUACGAGGGGCUGCAGUACAAGAAGCUGCCCCCGAUGAACAUCCCGAUCGUCGCGGACGGAGCCGUGCAGGGCUAUGUGAUUGCCAAUCUGGUCUUUACGGCCGACGCCAAGACUCUGCGCGAGAUCUCCGUGCCUCCCGAGGCUUUUAUCCAGGACGAGGUCUUCCGCUACGUCUAUGCCGACGAGACGCUCGAUUUCAAAAAGCUCUCUCGCUACAACGUCAACGGCAUGAUCGGCAAUGUCCGAGAGA
rnacentral:misc_RNA from 1 species